rnacentral:rRNA from 1 species
AGUGAACGCUGGCGGUAGGCCUAACACAUGCAAGUCGAACGGCAGCACAGGAGAGCUUGCUCUCUAGGUGGCGAGUGGCGGACGGGUGAGGAAUACAUCGGAUUCUACUUUUUCGUGGGGGAUAACGUAGGGAAACUUACGCUAAUACCGCAUACGACCUACGGGUGAAAGCAGGGGAUCUUCGGACCUUGCGCGAUUGAAUGAGCCGAUGUCGGAUUAGCUAGUUGGCGGGGUAAAGGCCCGCCAAGGCGACGAUCCGUAGCUGGUCUGAGAGGAUGAUCAGCCACGCUGGAACUGAGACACGGUCCAGACUCCUACGGGAGGCAGCAGUGGGGAAUAUUGGACAAUGGGCGCAAGCCUGAUCCAGCCAUACCGCGUGGGUGAAGAAGGCCUUCGGGUUGUAAAGCCCUUUUGUUGGGAAAGAAAUCCAGCUGGUUAAUACCCGGUUGGGAUGACGGUACCCAAAGAAUAAGCACCGGCUAACUUCGUGCCAGCCGCCGCAGUAA